GACGAACGCUGGCGGCGUGCUUAACACAUGCAAGUCGAACGGAAAGGCCCUGCUUUUGUGGGGUGCUCGAGUGGCGAACGGGUGAGUAACACGUGAGUAACCUGCCCUUGACUUUGGGAUAACUUCAGGAAACUGGGGCUAAUACCGGAUAGGAGCUACUGCUGCAUGGUGGGGGUUGGAAAGUUUCGGCGGUUGGGGAUGGACUCGCGGGUUAUGAGCUUGUUGGUGGGGUAGUGGCUUACCAAGGCUUUGACGGGUAGCCGGCCUGGGAGGGUGACCGGGCACAAGGGGACUACGAGACGCAGCAGAAUCGUACGGGAGGCAGCAGUGGGGAGUAUUGCACAAUAGGGCGAAGCCUGAGGCGGCGACGUCGCGUGCGGGAUGACGGCCUUCGGGUUAUAAACCGCUUUCGCAUGUGACGAAGCGGGAGUGACGGUAAUGGGUCAAGAAGCACCGGCUAACUACGUG
rnacentral:rRNA from 1 species